rnacentral:rRNA from 1 species
UCUCCUGGGAAAAAGGGUGGUAAUGCCGGAUGCUCCAGUUGGAUGCAUGUCCUUCUGGGAAAGAUUCAUCGGUAUGGGAUGGGGUCGCGUCCUAUCAGCUUGAUGGCGGGGUAACGGCCCACCAUGGCUUCGACGGGUAGCCGGCCUGAGAGGGCGACCGGCCACAUUGGGACUGAGAUACGGCCCAGACUCCUACGGGAGGCAGCAGUGGGGAAUAUUGCACAAUGGGCGCAAGCCUGAUGCAGCGACGCCGCGUGCGGGAUGACGGCCUUCGGGUUGUAAACCGCUUUUGACUGGGAGCAAGCCCUUCGGGGUGAGUGUACCUUUCGAAUAAGCACCGGCUAACUACGUGCCAGCAGCCGCGGUAAUACGUAGGGUGCAAGCGUUAUCCGGAAUUAUUGGGCGUAAAGGGCUCGUAGGCGGUUCGUCGCGUCCGGUGUGAAAGUCCAUCGCUUAACGGUGGAUCCGCGCCGGGUACGGGCGGGCUUGAGUGCGGUAGGGGAGACUGGAAUUCCCGGUGUAACGGUGGAAUGUGUAGAUAUCACAA